rnacentral:rRNA from 1 species
GACGAACGCUGGCGGCGUGCUUAACACAUGCAAGUCGAACGGAAAGGCCCUGCUUUUGUGGGGUGCUCGAGUGGCGAACGGGUGAGUAACACGUGAGUAACCUGCCCUUGACUUUGGGAUAACUUCAGGAAACUGGGGCUAAUACCGGAUAUGAGCUCCUGCUGCAUGGUGUGGGUUGGAAAGUUUCGGCGGUUGGGGAUGGACUCGCGGCUUAUCAGCUUGUUGGUGGGGUAGUGGCUUACCAAGGCUUUGACGGGUAGCCGGCCUGAGAGGGUGACCGGCCACAUUGGGACUGAGAUACGGCCCAGACUCCUACGGGAGGCAGCAGUGGGGAAUAUUGCACAAUGGGCGGAAGCCUGAUGCAGCAACGCCGCGUGCGGGAUGACGGCCUUCGGGUUGUAAACCGCUUUCGCCUGUGACGAAGCGUGAGUGACGGUAAUGGGUAAAGAAGCACCGGCUAACUACGUG